rnacentral:misc_RNA from 1 species
GAUGAAGAACGCAGCGAAAUGCGAUAAGUAAUGUGAAUUGCAGAAUUCAGUGAAUCAUCGAAUCUUUGAACGCACAUUGCGCCCGCCAGUAUUCUGGCGGGCAUGCCUGUUCGAGCGUCAUUUCAACCAUCAAGCCCCCGGCUUGUGUUGGGGACCUGCGGCUGCCGCAGGCCCUGAAAACCAGUGGCGGGCUCGCUGUCACACCGAGCGUAGUAGAUUUUCAUCUCGCUCAGGGCGUGCUGCGGGUUCCGGCCGUAAAAAGCCUUAUUUACCCAAGGUUGACCUCGGAUCAGGUAGGAAGACCCGCUGAACUUAAGCAUAUCAAUAAGCGGAGG